UUGGAGGGCAAGUCUGGUGCCAGCAGCCGCGGUAAUUCCAGCUCCAAUAGCGUAUAUUAAAGUUGUUGCAGUUAAAAAGCUCGUAGUUGAAUUUCGGGAUUAGUACGCUGGUCGUGCCUUCGGUACGUACUGGUGUUACUGAUUCCUACCUUCUGACGAACCAUCAUGUCAUUAGUUUGGUGUGGUGGGGAAUCAGGACUGUUACUUUGAAAAAAUUAGAGUGUUUAAAGCAGGCUCGCGCUUGAAUACAUUAGCAUGGAAUAAUGAAAUAGGACGUUGAUCCUAUUUUGUUGGUUUCUAGGAUUGACGUAAUGAUUAAUAGGGAUAGUUGGGGCAUUAGUAUUCAAUUGUCAGAGGUGAAAUUCUUGGAUUUAUUGAAGACUAACUACUGUGAAAGCAUUUGCCAAGGAUGUUUUCAUUAAUCAAGAACGAAAGUUAAGGGAUCGAAGACGAUCAGAUACCGUCGUAGUCUUAACCAUAAACUAUGCCGACUAGGGAUCGGAUGAUGUUAAUUUUUUAAUGACUCAUUCGGCGCCUUACGGGAAAC
rnacentral:rRNA from 1 species